UACGUAGGACCCAAGCGUUGUCCGGAUUUACUGGGUAUAAAGGGUGCGUAGGCGGGCUUGUGCGUCAGAGGUUAAAUCCCACGGCUUAACCGUGGAACUGCCUUUGAUACGGCAAGUCUUGAGUGUGAGAGAGGAAGGUAGAAUUCUUGGUGUAGCGGUGAAAUGCGUAGAUAUCAAGAGGAAUACCAGUGGCGAAGGCGGCCUUCUGGCUCAUCACUGACGCUGAGGCACGAAAGCGUGGGGAG
rnacentral:rRNA from 1 species